AGAAGAUUUUGCUGAGAAAAUUAAAGAAGAGCUCGCUAGAGAAGAUGCCGACUGCAGUAUACAAAAAUAUAGAUCAAAUUAAUGGUUUGCCUAGAUACUUCAGCAGAGGCUUAACCAUCAAGAGCGUCAAGGAUCAAGUGAAGGGUACGAUACAAGUGGACGUAGAAAUUAAAAAUAGCUUGGGUUACUCGUAUUCUGAUAACGAGGAGCUCGUUGAUGCUAUGGGCGUUCUCUACAUUUGGAAGAAAUGAGAAAUUAACAAAUAUGAAACAGAUCAAGGCAUUGUUGAAGAUGGAAGGCACCUUGUUAGUUACUAAUUUUCUUCUAGUUUAUGUGUGUGAAUAAAAUACAAUGCCUUGUAAUAAUGUGUUAUACUCAUAAAUUAAAGCUUCACAAUAAUUAAACCUCGUUUUAUAAUUUUAAUUUGCAGCAGCUUUCCUUAUUCUAAUAUUUUUAUUUUCUUUUGAAAUGUGGUGUUGGAUUUUUUUUUCUUCAAAUUAUUUAUUGAUUUAAGUUAGUUUCCAGUGCAAAUAGAAUUAGUCCUAACCCAGUUGGAUAUGAAUAUCUAUAGUUGAAUCUUAAAAAAAAAAAAAAUCAAUUUCCAAUUCCCUUUCCUCUCCUUCUUCAUUUGUUUUAUUCAGAAUAAAAUUAAGUGUCUAGCUGCUCCGUUAUAACUAUAAAUUGGUGAUUAGCCCAAAUAACAUUGCUCUAUGCUGCUUACUAAGCUCAAUGCAGCUUUUUCUUAGCAACAAUUAGAGUAGAGUCUAUGUAUUUUAACGUAUUGGCACUGGAAUCGGCUCCAGAGUUGAGAAAUCUUUGGUUACCCGAUAAGUGACGGAUCCUGAGCUGGAAAAUAGCCUCCUUAGCGCAGGAAAAUUGUCCCAUAACAGUGCCCAAUACAAACGGGCUUGUAAGAGUGCGAACACCGAGACAGGAAGCAAAGCAGCAACAGAAAUGAGGCUCGUUGUCCAAUGUUUCUCCGAUUGAAUGAGUAAUAAUACGGUGACAGCGAAAGUAAUCAUGGUCGAAAUCACCGACAAGAAGAGCAAAGUGAAGCCAAAAGAAAGCUUCUGUGGGAUGGAGCGUUCGAACUCACGAAAUUCAAAUGGCGAAGUGAGAAUAGAGAGGAAAGCCACAACGGAAGUCAAAGAGAAAGCUAAAGAAACAACAUCCAUGACAGUGAAGAGCAAGAAAUAAGGAGAGUUGCGAAAAAUAGGCAACCCUCUAUCAUUUAAACCUCCUGGUAUAGUGAAGGCAGCAGCAAAAACCACAGUGGCGAUUAGAGCAGCAACAGUAGAGCAAGCCUGAGAUGUAUCUUUCGUCCAUUGCUGCGCAUCAGCGAGCUGUUCUUUGUGCUUUAUGUCAAAAAGCUGUUUUGGAGUCACCCAGUGAUCAUCUUUAUAAUGUAUACGAUGCAUGGCAUAAUGAGAGGGAACUAUUUUCUUCACACGCUGCAAGCAGAGAAGAAGAUCAAAUUAAUUUCUGAAAAUAAAUAUAUAAUCAAGGAUAUGAAAUUGAAGGCAUUAAAGAGGAGCUCACAUCAAACCAUAGUAACUCUUCUUGUAGUUGAAGUGCAGGACCAGGCUUGGUGCCUUCUUUGACAGUGGAUGCGACUUGGUGCAACAAUGUAUAACCUUCGUCUGCAACUGCUUCAGUCAUCCUCUUCCAUUGUAAUCCGCUAUUAAUUUCUUUUAAAAGGUUGAAAAUGUCAUGGCGUCGGUUCAAUACAGCCACAUGCAAUAUGUUGUGUUUCUUCUCGUUUAGCUGCUCAGUAGCCUGAGGAAAUUCUUCGAUUGUUGCAUGAACAAUCUCUAUUAUUCCCAUCUCAAUAGCAACAAAUAUUGGCGUUUUAUGAUGCCGUUCGACUGCUAUUUUUAUUAGCAAUCUGGCAAGUUGCAAAGCUAAUUUGUGCCUUUUCUUUUCUUUCCAGAUCUUUUCCACCGUCGGCCACACUGUUCACAGGUGUUUAUGGAGAAAUUAGAUUGGAACCAAAACAUAAGAUUUUCCUUUUGAGGGUAAUUGAAUAAUUUAAAUUUUCUCAUACCUUUAUGGAAAGGCAGGAUGCAGGAUCUGGCUUGGUUCUGCCUAUGCUCUGUGUUCAUACACAUCUCCAAAUCCUUCUCUUCUCUUGAAGACUGUGGAGUAACGGCACAAUCAAUCUCAUCUUCAACAGGAAGGCCUGCACAAAUUAAUUCGCAAUUUUUGUCAAUUAAAAUAUUGAUUCCCACAUUCUAACACUAUGUUUGGGAGUGGAAGAGUAAGCAAGGUGGAAGUGAUGGAAAUUAAACUUACACGAGUAUAAUAAGGUUUCGAGAAAGGCCAAGGUGCGUCCACUCCUGAAAGAGGACGGCAUACGAGCGAGAGCUCCGAGAGGACUAAUCCCAUUUCUGUCCUCCAAAAGCCACGGUGAUUCCCCCUCCAACAUCCAAAAUCCUUCGAGUUUUAGCAACAACAAAGCCGUCUCUGCAUGCAUUAGAUGGUAAAAUUAAUCAAAUUACAAUAUACAAUCCAGCUGCGAUUCAUGGGAAAAUUUACUCAGACCCGAUUCAAAAUAAAUCAAAACGAUGUCUAGACAAGAAUAGCCCAUAAACUAUGUAUCCAUUCUUUAAGAGGGAGAUAAGAUCAGGGCAAAACCAAAGUGUUGUCCUUCAAUGGCAACUUGAAGAAUAGAUUUCUGAUCACUAUAUCUUCUGAUAGAUUUUUGAAAAAUUCCUUCUUCGUCUCCAUAAUAUUUAUUAGCAAAGAACCGGACUACUUCUGUCUGGCCAAACGCAGCUGCUGUAAAUAAUGGGUUCUCGUUCACUUCA